rnacentral:siRNA from 1 species
AACGGAGAAGUCAAGAUUGUUGC